GACGCAAGAGGCGUGAGGUCGUGGUCUGGACUAUGAACAUGUUCACGCUCACUCACGUGUGUGUGUGUGUGUGUGUGUGUGUGUGUGUGUGUGUGUGUGUGUAACUGAUGCGUGCCAGUUUUGCCGACCCAUAAAAACUCGAAUGGGGUUUGGCCUCGUCGGGGCCCCGAAGAGGAAGCUGUGAACUCCGAAGCCUCCGUGCUGAAUGCAUCGGGCUAUAUGGGUGAAAGGUCACCGGAGGAGGUCGCCCCUUUGUGGUCGGGCAACAGGGGGCCGUGAGGCGAGGACGGGGGGGGGGGAGCCUCCUCCGUUUUCGCAAUAAGUAGCCUCGGGGAUAAAAGAUGAAUAUUUAGAAGACGUUUUCGUCUCAAAGUCACGUCUGCAGUUUCUACUGCGGCUAAAAAGGAGAAGUUCACAUGCGGCUUAAAAGGAGAUAAAUCGGAGCCGCUCGUCACAUUCCUGUCAGCUCAGGAAGAUUCUUUGAGAUCAAAAGCGUUCCCAAACACCACGAGGCCUCGAGUGCCAUCGUCACUCAGAUGUCACUUUGCUUAAACAUUUCAGGAUCCUGGAUCUCCUUUAAUGGCCGAGUGUUCGUGCAUAAACAAGUUUUCUCUCUCUGGGCGUAUGUAGGACAGAAAUAACAACGAGGAACAAGAACAAAGCCAAUAGAAGGAGUGAAACGUUAAUAUUUAACGUUAGCCACCACAAGCUGCUCGUCACGCAAGACCAAGUUCGUGAGUGUGAAGGUUUCAUCCUUUCAGGCCGACAGGAACUGACCCCGCCCCCCAAGCACCGAGGUCAUGAUGGAGGGCACCCAGGAGGUCUCGCUGUUGGAGGCGUGGAACUCGUUCUGCAGGUCGGUGUAGAAGAUGCCCAUGCAGGAGGGGAAGGCCAGGGUCAGAGCCAGG